UACGUAGGGCGCAAGCGUUGUCCGGAAUUAUUGGGCGGAAAGAGCUCGUAGGCGGCUUGUCACGUCGAUUGUGAAAGCCCGAGGCUUAACCUCGGGUCUGCAGUCGAUACGGGCUAGCUAGAGUGUGGUAGGGGAGAUCGGAAUUCCUGGUGUAGCGGUGAAAUGCGCAGAUAUCAGGAGGAACACCGGUGGCGAAGGCGGGUCUCUGGGCCGAAAUUGACGCUGAGGAGCGAAAGCGUGUGGAGCAAACAGG
rnacentral:rRNA from 1 species